rnacentral:lncRNA from 1 species
UUUUAGAAGUGUUUACAGACCAAAUGGCAAAAGUAACGGACGAUUGGUUCAAAACAAAUGUCUAAAGAGAUGGUGCAUUCCAAAGAAGUGUGUCAAAGCCAAAAGUGCACAUAAUGAGGUUGUUCGAAGCAACGAUGUGCGAGAGGACGACCUUGAUGUAAAAGUGCAAUUCUUAGUAACGAGGGUAUUGCUGGAUUGAGUGGGGGAGGAUGUCAUGGCCCAAGAGUUCAAACCAGUUCAAGCAGGCCAAGCAACCCAACAAACAAUUGCCCAAGUCGGCUAGGCAACCUAGACAACAAGCCAGCUCACGUAGUGUAAUCUGAUUUGAACUUUGGAUUUGUAAAUGUAUAUCUAGGUUUAGAUAUAAAUUUAUUAAAUUAAAUUAAGAUUUGGAUUUA